CCCACAAGUGUUAGGAUCCUCCUCAGCGCUGCCUGCUCCUGUAAUUCCUGCAGAAAGGAACAGCUGACCAGAGCCCUCAGUGCCAGCUCCCAUCUCUCUGUUUUGUCCUGAUGAGCUUUACACCAGAGGAGAAUUACAGCCUGCUCUGUGGCGAGCAAUUUGGAGGCAUAAAGGAAUGCAAUUGUGGAAUAAAACCCGCUCUGUGUGCUGUGAGAUAACUUCACCUGCCACAGAAAACGAGCGGUGACUCGGAGGCAGGCAAACAAAAUGGUGAGCGCGCCUUGGGCUACGUUUGCAGCGUGUUUUCUUGGGAGAUCAAAGCUUAAAUCCCAUUAACCCUUCAAAUGUCAGCCUGCUCAGCCUUCAUUACCCUCCUGGCAAGUGGCUGAAUGAGGUUUUGUUGGCCAGCAGAGCCAUUUUGGAGCAAAUUAAGAUUUGUUGGGUGCUUGUUAAAGACCUCUUGGA